UUCGCCCUUAGAGUUUGAUCCUGGCUCAGGACGAACGCUGGCGGCGUGCUUAACACAUGCAAGUCGAACGGACACCAUCGGGUGCUUGCACCUGAGAAGUGUUAGUGGCGGACGGGUGAGUAGCGCGUGAGUGACCUGCCUACAAGAGGGGGACAACAUCUGGAAACGGGUGCUAAUACCGCAUGAGACCACGGUGCUACAUGGUACUGAGGUAAAAGAUUUAUCGCUUGUAGAGGGGCUCGCGUCCCAUUAGGUAGUUGGUGAGGUAACGGCCCACCAAGCCAACGAUGGGUAGCCGACCUGAGAGGGUGAUCGGCCACACUGGAACUGAGAGACGGUCCAGACUCCUACGGGAGGCAGCAGUGGGGAAUAUUGGGCAAUGGAGGCAACUCUGACCCAGCAACGCCGCGUGAGGGAAGAAGGUUUUCGGAUUGUAAACCUCUGUCCUUGGGGACGAAAAAAAUGACGGUACCCAAGGAGGAAGCCCCGGCUAACUACGUGCCAGCAGCCGCGGUAAUACGUAGGGGGCGAGCGUUGUCCGGAAUUACUGGGCGUAAAGGGUGCGUAGGCGGUUUACUAAGUUGGAUGUGAAAUACCCGGGCUUAACUUGGGGGGUGCAUUCAAAACUGGUAGACUUGAGUACAGGAGAGGGAAGCGGAAUUCCUAGUGUAGCGGUGAAAUGCGUAGAUAUUAGGAGGAACACCAGUGGCGAAGGCGGCUUUCUGGACUGUAACUGACGCUGAGGCACGAAAGCGUGGGGAGCAAACAGGAUUAGAUACCCUGGUAGUCCACGCUGUAAACGAUGGAUACUAGGUGUAGGGGACGAACGUCCUCUGUGCCGCAGCAAACGCAGUAAGUAUCCCGCGUGGGGAGUGCGGCCGCAAGGCUGAAACUCAAAGGAAUUGACGGGGGCCCGCACAAGCAGCGGAGCAUGUGGUUUAAUUCGAAGCAACGCGAAGAACCUUACCAAGGCUUGACAUCCUCUGACGCAUGUAGAGAUACAUGUUUCCUUCGGGACAGAGAGACAGGUGGUGCAUGGUUGUCGUCAGCUCGUGUCGUGAGAUGUUGGGUUAAGUCCCGCAACGAGCGCAACCCUUAUGGUUAGUUGCCAGCACGUAAAGGUGGGAACUCUAAUCAGACUGCCGGGGACAACUCGGAGGAAGGUGGGGACGACGUCAAAUCAUCAUGCCCCUUAUGUCUUGGGCUACACACGUGCUACAAUGGCCGGUACAAAGAGCAGCAAGCCCGCGAGGGGGAGCGAAUCUCAAAAAGCCGGUCCCAGUUCGGAUUGUGGGGUGCAACCCGCCCACAUGAAGUCGGAGUUGGUAGUAAUCGCGAAUCAGCAUGUCGCGGUGAAUGCGUUCCCGGGCCUUGCACACACCGCCCGUCA
rnacentral:rRNA from 1 species